GCCAAUUAGUAAUUAAUUAAUUAGUUUCUACUUGAAAGAUGAUAAACAUAAUUUUUCUUUUUCCUGUGAAGCUGGUGCUGCUAAUGCUAGUUAAAGACACAUUCCAUCAAGCUGUAAAUGCAAAUGCCAGUACUAUCUGCUAUCUAAUUUUUGUGCAUAUCAUGUAUAUUUUGCCUAGGUAGUGGGUACCAACUACCAAGUUCUUAACUACUAUUUUAGGUUACGUGGUCUUUCUUAUCUUCUUAACAAAGCAGACCAAACAUAUGUUGCUUUGGACAGCCUCGUAAGACAGAUUUUUUUCAGGAAUGCUGUGGGAUACAGGAGAGGAGAGAGAUGGAUAUAUGUGUGAGAUAAUUAAAGCUUUUGAUGCAUUUGAGUAACUUGAGAGUUUUCCACUCUCAUCUUGCUUUUUCCUUGGAAAUUUGCUUUUGCCUUAAUCAAGAAACACGAUAAGCAGUGAACAACUGUAUUAAUUUCCUUGUAUACUUUUCAAGAAUAGAUCAAGACUAAUUUAUAAUGCUCAUUUGGAUUGGAAAAUGUCUUGGAAUUUGCUGAUAGCAUUUUCUAUGAUGCAUGAAAAUAAAUAGUUUUCCCUGUGUUUUAGUAGGGAGUGGAGGUGGAGGGAAUGGAAGAUAUAGAUUAAAUGAAGGUUGCCAAAUUUCUUCAAUACCAUUGUCGUUGUCUGAGACAUGCUAUGAGUAGAAAAUAAUGAUAGCUCUAGUGGAAUGAAAUAAGCUUCGCUAAUCUCCAUUGGACGCCACUGUUGCAAGCUUCCAACUUCCCGUUGAUUGUCAGUUGGGAUUCUUGUCUAGAAGCGUGUUGUUUAUCACAGGGUAAUUGAGAUAUUGGGGAAGAGGGAAGCAGGUAUACUAUUGAAAUGGAGGAGAGUUAGGGCGAUUAGUUUCUGCUUGGUGUAUGUGGCGAGGCUUAGGAGAAGGCCUUAUAAUAUAAUGGGACCUCAUAUGUAUUGGGCCUACUCAUAAGCUGAGCCCAUUUGAUGCUACUUGACCCAUCUCAACAAUUUGUGUUCUUAGCCCUAGCCCAAACACAACCAUUGUCUUCUUUCUCAGCCUCCCAACCACAGAACAAUGUAAUGCUCUGUUCAUCUCCACCCCUAGAAUAUUGCGGUCCCUUUCUUUGGUUAAAACCCACGAACAAUAUUCAUGCGAUAUCAACUGUUUCUUUUUGUCCUUGUGCAAUCCCGUCGUGGAACGAUGAUAGUGAGAAGGUGAGAAUUUUAGUUCCUUUACUGCAUUAGUCACAGAACCUUUGACCCAAUUUGUUACCAAACCCAUAUGAGGAACAUCUGUAAGAUUUCCACAGGAAGUGCCGUCUUUAUCUUCACCAAAUUGCUCCAGGACUCUAUUUUGAAGUGUUCCCAUGAAGGACAAGGGAAUUAUUGUGGAAACCCGCAAAACCAUCGGAGAGAGGUUUCCUCCUUGCUAUUCCAAACAAAAUAGAUUUGAACAUUCUCUCGGGUUUUAUAGAACGCGAAUUAUUGGUCUGCAUGAGUGACCCAUACCUCCGGAUCCACUCCAUCAAACUUGGGCAUCUCCAUUUUUCGAAUGAUGGCUGGUGCUUCCUCUAGCAACAGUGCUUGAGCGUUCUUAUGAGCUGUCGACAAAGCGCCAUUGUUUGGUUGUUGAAGAUGCAGAAGACCAUUUCGUUCUACAUAGGGAAAUUUCUCUUUCACUAAUGAGGUCAGUAAUUUUUCAAUUGAAUCCAAUCUAUCUAGUUGCUUGAGGUCACGGGUCGUCUACAAGCCCAAAUAGCAGCUCAUACCCAUUUUCAGAGGUUUCACAUCUUGACAAACAGAGCACCAUCAAGUCUCUGCUUCUUCACAAGACACACAAUCACCGUCCAUUGUUCCUGUUGAGAUUGCGAAGAAUCGGAAAUAGCGUGGCAGAACUGUUCCAUUCCACCAGUUUACAGAGCAGCUCUUAUUGACUCAUUUCGAUGCUGUUCAUAAUUUUCUAUAGGGAAAGUUUACUCGGGCCCCAGCAGGUAUGAAUCGAUACUCGACCUUGUCAUUCAACCAUUUCGCUUAACAUUGGCCUUAUUGUGCUCUGGUAGUGGAAAAGGAAGUGGGUUUGUUCUUAUUUUCCCAAACGUUGUUUUUUGAUUUGUUAAUCUAUUUGUGUUUGUGUUUUAUUCUUAGCUUCUUUAUGAAUCUGUAACUGCUUUAUUAUUGUUACAUGCUUGGAAAGCUUAAAUACUAUAUGUCUUGCUCUUUACUGUUGAACUAAAUUUAUUUUCCCGGCUAUGAUUCUGUGAUGUGAAUGAAAUUGGGUUGCAUUUCAUUGAAUGCUAGUUUUGAAGAUUCUUUACAAUCUUCUGCAGUGAUUAAUGCACUAUUAUAUUGUAGAAGUGCCUUGAAUUCUUUUUGGCUGAUGUGAGGUUGAAUGAUUGAUUCAUUUUAUUCAAAUUUUAUUCAUAAGUUGAUUACUUGCUGUGGUUCUUAUUCUACUGUUAUAAAAUGAUGUUUUGAAGAACUUCACUAAUAUUAGUUGCUAGUUAAAGGGUUUGAAGCCAAUUUGUUCAUGGAUACUGUGUGUAGGGCAAGAGGGGGCGAGGCGUGAGGCGAAAUAUCAUCCAU
rnacentral:misc_RNA from 1 species